UACGUAGGUGGCAAGCGUUGUCCGGAUUUAUUGGGCGUAAAGAGCUCGUAGGCGGCUCAGUAAGUCGGGUGUGAAACCUCCAGGCUCAACCUGGAGACGCCACCCGAUACUGCUGUGGCUUGAGUCCGGUAGGGGAGCGUGGAAUUCCUGGUGUAGCGGUGAAAUGCGCAGAUAUCAGGAGGAACACCAGCGGCGAAGGCGGCGCUCUGGGCCGGAACUGACGCUGGAGGAGCGAAAGCGUGGGUAGCAAACAGG
rnacentral:rRNA from 1 species